AAUCAACGCUGGCGGCGUGCCUAACACAUGCAAGUCGAACGCGAAAGUUCCUUCGGGGAUGAGUAGAGUGGCGUCCGGGUGAGUAACGCGUGGGUAAUCUACCUUUGGGUGGGGAAUAACUCAGGGAAACUUGAGCUAAUACCGCAUAAUGCAGCGGCUCGACAUCGAGACAGUUGUUAAAGCAGCAAUGCGCCUGAAGAGGAGCCUGCGUCUGAUUAGCUUGUUGGUGAGGUAAUGGCUCACCAAGGCUGCGAUCAGUAGCUGGUCUGAGAGGUCGGCCAGCCACAAUGGCACUGAAACACGGGCCAUACUCCUACGGGAGGCAGCAGUGGAGAAUUUUGCGCAAUGGGCGAAAGCCUGACGCAGCAACGCCGCGUGAAGGAUGAAAUCCUUCGGGAUGUAAACUUCGCAAGUAUGGGAAGAAAUAAAUGACGGUACCAUAUGUAAGCCCCGGCUAACUCCGUGCCAGCCGCCGCCGUAA
rnacentral:rRNA from 1 species